rnacentral:rRNA from 1 species
CGAUUAAACUGGCGAACGGGUGAGUAACGCGUAGGCAACCUGCCCUAUAGAUUGGGAUAACAUUGGGAAACUGAUGCUAAUACCGGAUGAUGCAACAUUUUCUUUGGAAAGAGUUGUUAAAGCGGGCUUCGGCUCGCGCUUUAGGAUGGGCCUGCGUCCGAUUAGCUUGUUGGUAAGGUAAUGGCUUACCAAGGCAAUGAUCGGUAGUUGGUCUGAGAGGAUGAUCAGCCACACUGGGAUUGAGAUACGGCCCAGACUCCUACGGGAGGCAGCAGUAGGGAAUUUUGCGCAAUGGGGGAAACCCUGACGCAGCAACGCCGCGUGACCGAUGAAGCAUCUAGGUGCGUAAAGGUCUGUCGUAAGGGAAGAAAAAUUCGGAUGUAAAUAAUGUUCGAAUCUGACGGUACCUUACAAGAAAGCACCGGCUAACUUCGUGCCAGCAGCCGCGGUAAUACGAGGGGUGCAAGCGUUGUCCGGAAUCACUGGGCGUAAAGGGUCCGUAGGCGUUUCAAUAAGUCAUAUGUUAAAGACACCGGCUUAACCGGUGACAUGCAUUUGAAACUGUUGAAAUAGAGUAUAGGAGAGGAAAGUGGAAUUCCUGGUGUAGCGGUGACAUGCGUAGAUAUCAGGAGGAACAUCAAUGGCGAAGGCAGCUUUCUGGCCUAUUACUGACGCUGAGGGACGAAAGCGUGGGGAGCGAACAGGAUUAGAUACCCUGGUAGUCCACGCCGUAAACGAUGAGUACUUGGUGUCGGGGGAAUCGACCCCCUCGGUACCGGAGCUAACGCA